GCACACUGGCCCACCAGCCUUGGCCCAUCUGCACCUGCAGGAUGCUUCCUGUUUCCAUGGCUGCUGUGAACCAGCUGAGCUUCGCACAAUCUGCAAAAUUCUUCACUAUCCUGCAAGUACUGUCUCCAGCGAGGUCUGAGUCCCGGCCGUGAGGAAGAAGCCCUCCUUCCAGGGGUGUCCAUUCUUGGCUACGCGCCUUCAGCCUCGGGAUUUUCUCGCGUUCUCUUUUCAUCUUCACAGUUCCUCCCCUAUUGCAGUUAAUACUUCUUUAUAUGAAAUUUUCCUGUUCAGACACCUGGCUGGUUUGUGCCUUCCAAUUGGACCAGAGCCCAUAGUUCCAGAUGUCUGUACCAUGAUUAAAAGUCCUUCUCCCACUGAGAUACUUAAAACCCUCCUACCUGAUGUCUGCGGUGCUUUGGAAACGGAGCAGGCCCCUGUGCUCACCCCACCCCCGCCACAUCCUCCACCUGCCUUUUGUCUGCAGAAAAACUUCAAAGAAUAAGUUUAAUCAGAAAAGUGAGAAAACGCAGGCGCAGAGGAAAGCAGUCCAACGAGACCAAGUCACAACAUUUAGUCACGAAGCAAAGGCAAGGACUUCAGUUCCUCUCAGGGGCUGUGGGUCACCUUCUGAGCCGUGUCCUGAGAGCUGCCUUGUCGACACUGAAACCCCACCCGCUGGAAGACGUUAGCGGCGUGAUGACCAGACUGGGGCCAUGACAUUGCUGCCACAGUUCCCAGAAGUGGCCUCAAAGAAGCGGGAACAAACCGACCCUGGAACUGAAGACAAACUGUGCUUGACACAGUCAAGAGGCUGCUGCUCAGAUCACCCGACCAACUGCGAGGUGACGGCGGAGCGGACGGCGCUGUUUCCGCACGCAGCCCCCGCCCUCCGCCGUAAAACCUCUUGCCCCCCGAUUGUCAGUCUUUGGACAGGAGGCCCCCUCCGUGCUGCCGGCCUCCGAAAUAAAGCAACCUCACCUCUUUAUUGUCUUCAGAGCCGCGAGCGGCUGGGCCCCACUUUCAGUCAAGCUGCCACCUGCCGCCGUAACCACCGCAGCCCUAGGAGGGGUUUCACAUCUGUUGGUCUUAGUUCCCGCUUCCUCCUGUUGCUCUCUUUGGGAUUUUUUUUUUUUUUUUUCCUUUUCUAAGGCCACUCUCACAGCAUAUGGAGGUUCCCAGGCUAGGGGUCAAAUCGGAGCUGGAGCCACCGGCCUACACCAGAGCCACAGCAACAUGGGAUCCGAGCCGCAUCUGUGACCUGCACCACAGCUCACGGCAACGCCAGAUCUUUCACCCACUGAGCAAGGCCAGGGAUCGAACCCACAACCUCAUGGUUCCUAGUUGGACUUGUUAACUACUGAGCCACGAUGGGAACUCCUGGGAUUUUUUUUUUUUUUUGUUAUUCCUCCUGGAUGUUUGCUUUUCAUUGUGAACUUUAGAAUCCACUCAUCUCUCCCUAAAAAGCCAUUUUCAUGAUUUUUAUUUGAUUGUGAUCACUCUGGGGCUUGAGUCAGGAGAUGGCUCCUGUAGGUUGACUUUUCUUUUCUACAAAGGCUGUGACGGGCCUUUCCAGCCAGCUCAGGCUUCUUUUGUGGCACUUCGUGGUCGCGUGUCCCAUAAGGGUGUCCCUAGGGGUUUAAUGUCUGUUGUCAUGGCCAUGCAAAUCGGACUUCUCUGUCAUCGUACCUCCUCUCCAUGUGUCCUUAAACAGAGCCACUGACACCUGGACGUACCCUUGAGCUGAGCCACGUUGCUGAAGUCUCUUCUCGUGGCACCAGGAUGUCAGCGGCCUUGCUGGGGAUCCAAGGUUGUGCUCCUGGCUUGUGAUGUGUGGGCUGGAGGGAGCGGGGGCUCUGUGUGCAGGUGGAGGGGGGCGCCUCUGUCCCCACCCCAACCUCCAUGGCUCCUUGGACCGAGGCGGGGGCCUGACGGAGUCGGGGGAGCAGUUAGGGCUGUUUGUGGGCCUUUGUGAGCCCCCGAGACCAGGCGACAAAGCGCUUCAGAGCGGAGAAGACCCCCCAGCCUGGCUCCAUGUGAGGAGGUUCCAGGGGCACUGGCGCUGACCCUGGGCAGGUGCCUGGCCUUCCUUUGGACAGCAGGUUGGCAAAGCCACCAGACGCUCUCAGGCAUAAGGGCUGGGGAGGGCUGUUGCCCACAGACCCCUUCCUGGGCCCUGUGCUCCCUGGGGGCUCUGGGGAACGCCUGUGGUAGGAGCUCAGGGGUCAGCACAAGUGUCUCUGGGCCUCGAUGGUGCCCACAGCCAGGGCAGCAGGAGGUUUGGGUGAUCCCGGUUCUUGCCUUUACUCCUCGCAAAACCCGCCCUCAGGGAGUCAGAUUUUUAUGAAUGUUUGAAAGUAAAUACAGAAAAAGUCAGGAGGGGUUGUGUAUUCCCUGAUUCCAUCCCUGACUCAGGAACUUCCAUAUGCUGCAGGUGCAGUCAUACAGAAGGAGAAGGAGGAGGAGGAGGAGAAGUGGUACUUGCACACAAUGGAAUAUUACUCAGCCAUAAAAAAUGAAAUGCCAUUCACGGCAACAUGGAUGCAACUAGAGAUUCUCAUACUAAGUGAAGUAAGUCGGAAAGAGAAGGACAAAUACCAUGAUAUCACUUAUUGUGGAAUCUCAACUAUGGCACAAAUGAACCAUCUAUCAAACAGAGACAGACUCACAGACAUAGGAAACAGACUUGUGGUUGCCAAGGGGGACGGGGCCGGAGUGGGAUGGACGGGGAGUUUGGGGUUAGUAGGUGCACCCUAUGACAUUUGGAAUAAAUAAGCAAUGAGGUCCUGCUCUAUAGCACAGGGAACUCUGACCAGUCUCUUGGGAUAGACCGUGAUGGAAACUAAUACAAGCAAAGGAAUAUGGAUGUAUGACUGGGUCGCUUUGCUGUUCAGCAGAAAUGGGCACAACAUUGUAAAUCGACUAUACUCUAAUGAAAUUAAAAAAAAACUACUUAGACGUAACAAGGGUGAAAA
rnacentral:lncRNA from 1 species